rnacentral:rRNA from 1 species
AUUGAACGCUGGCGGCAGGCCUAACACAUGCAAGUCGAGCGAGCGGCGGACGGGUGAGUAAUGUCUGGGAAACUGCCCGAUGGUGGGGGAUAACUACUGGAAACGGUAGCUAAUACCGCAUACCAUCAGAUGUGCCCAGAUGGGAUUAGCGAGUAGGUUGGGUAACGGCUCACCAGGGCGACGAUCCCUCGCUGGUCUGAGAGGAUGACCAGCCAAACUGGAACUGAGACACGGUCCAGACUCCGACGGGAGGCAGCAGGGGGGAAUAUUGCACAAGGGGCGCAAGCCUGAUGCAGCCAUGCCGCGUGUGUGAAGAAGGCCUUCGGGUUGUAAAGCACUUUCAGCGGCGAGGCGGUACCCGAAGAAGAAGCACCGGCUAACUACGUGCCAGCAGCCGCGGUAAUAC